rnacentral:rRNA from 1 species
AGGACUAACGCUGGCGGCGUGCCUAACACAUGCAAGUCGAACGAGGGGUAGCAAUACCCCUAGUGGCAGACGGGUGAGUAACACGUAGUCAACCUACCUCUUAAUGGGGGAUAACUAGCCGAAAGGUUAGCUAAUACCGCAUACGAUCGUCGAGUGGCAUCACACGACGAUGAAAGGAGCAAUCCGUUGAGAGAGGGGACUGCGUCCCAUUAGUUAGUUGGUGGGGUAAUGGCCUACCAAGACUCCGAUGGGUAGCUGGCUUGAGAGAGCGACCAGCCACACUGGAACUGAGACACGGGUCCAGACUCCUACGGGAGGCAGCAGUGAGGAAUUUUCCGCAAUGGGGGAAACCCUGACGGAGCGACGCCGCGUGUGGGAAGAAGGCCUUCGGGUCGUAAACCACUGUCGAGGGGGACGAUAUUGACGGUACCCCUGGAGGAAGCCCCGGCUAACUACGUGCCAGCAGCCGC